GAAAAGAAACCAACAGGGAUUGCCUCAGUAACGGCGAGUGAAGCGGCAAAAGCUCAAAUUUGAAAUCUAGCACUUUCAGUGUUCGAGUUGUAAUUUGAAGAAGGUAACUUUGGUUUUGGCUCUUGUCUAUGUUCCUUGGAACAGGACGUCACAGAGGGUGAGAAUCCCGUGCGAUGAGAUGCCCAAUUCCAUGUAAAGUGCUUUCGAAGAGUCGAGUUGUUUGGGAAUGCAGCUCUAAGUGGGUGGUAAAUUCCAUCUAAAGCUAAAUAUUGGCGAGAGACCGAUAGCGAACAAGUACAGUGAUGGAAAGAUGAAAAGAACUUUGAAAAGAGAGUGAAAAAGUACGUGAAAUUGUUGAAAGGGAAGGGCUUGAGAUCAGACUUGGUAUUUUGCGUUCCCUUCCUUUUUGGUUGGGUUCCUCGCAGUUUACUGGGCCAGCAUCGGUUUGGAUGGUAGGAUAAUGACAUUGGAAUGUAGCUUUACUUCGGUGAAGUGUUAUAGACUUUGUUGAUACUGCCUAUCUAGACCGAGGACUGCGUCUUUGACUAGGAUGCUGGCGUAAUGAUCUUAAGCCGCCCG
rnacentral:rRNA from 1 species